GACAGAGGGUGCAAACGUUGCUCGGAAUUACUGGGCGUAAAGCGCGUGUAGGCGGUGCCGCACGUCCGGUGUGAAAGCCCAGGGCUCAACCCUGGAAGCGCACUGGAUACGACGGCGCUGGAGUCCUGAAGAGGAGGGCGGAGUUCCCGGUGUAGAGGUGAAAUUCGUAGAUAUCGGGAGGAACACCAGUGGCGAAGGCGGCUCUCUGGACAGGUACUGACGCUGAGACGCGAAAGCGUGGGUAGCAAACAGGAUUAGAUACCCUUGUAGU
rnacentral:rRNA from 1 species